GACGAACGCUGGCGGCGUGCUUAACACAUGCAAGUCGAACGGAAAGGCCCUGCUUUUGUGGGGUGCUCGAGUGGCGAACGGGUGAGUAACACGUGAGUAACCUGCCCUUGACUUUGGGAUAACUUCAGGAAACUGGGGCUAAUACCGGAUAGGAGCUCCUGCUGCAUGGUGGGGGUUGGAAAGUUUCGGCGGUUGGGGAUGGACUCGCGGCUUAUCAGCUUGUUGGUGGGGUAGUGGCUUACCAAGGCUUUGACGGGUAGCCGGCCUGAAAGGGUGACCGGCCACAUUGGGACUGAGAUACGGCCCAGACUCCUACGGGAGGCAGCAGUGGGGAAUAUUGCACAAUGGGCGGAAGCCUAAUGCAGCAACGCCGCGUGCGGGAUGACGGCCUUCGGGUUGUAACCCGCUUUCGCAUGUGACGAAGCGUGAGUGGCGGUAAUGGGUAAAGAAGCACCGGCUAACUACGUG
rnacentral:rRNA from 1 species